rnacentral:lncRNA from 1 species
GCCUGUGUGAAUAAUGACAGACAUUGCCAGACCUCUGGCAGAUCCUGCAAAGAGACCGGGACAAAUCGCAGGUCUUGCUAUGCAUUCCAGGCUGGCCUUGAAUUCAUGGCAUUCCUCCUGCCUCAGCCUCCCCAGCGCUGGGAAUACAGCUGACUUGCUGUUGGAGGAGGGGCCUGGACAGAAGAGGCGGCUCCCUGUGUGUGCCCAGGAAAGGUUCUACCUCCCUCCGGCUCCUUGCUCAACACCCUCUGCUUCCUGGAUACCUUGAUUCGAGCAGCUGUUCCCCUGCCAGGGCCCUCUUCCAUGCUGUCCUGCCUUGGAGCCAACGGACUACAGACUGAAACCUCUACAAACAUAAGCCAAAAUAAACCUCUGCUCCCACUAGUUGUAGGUGUUGGAUAUGAGAAAGUACUGAAGACACUAGCACGGUGCAAAGCACUCAGUACAUCAAUACAUGCCCACUGAGGUGGUGGCUGAUUGGCGGGACCCUGGGCAAAGGCCUCUGGACGGCUGGAAGGUGAGGCAGAGGGAGCUCCUGCUCCCCCAGAUACACACGGGGCAGGCAGGGGAGGCUGUGCCAAACGCAGCUGUCCCGGGCUUAGUCUGCUUUCUGUUGCUAUCACAAAAUACCUGAGACCAGGUAAUUUAUAAAGAAUGGAAGUUUAUUUGGCUCACAGUUCUGGAGGCUGGAAAGUCCAGAAGCACAGCACUAGGGUCUCCCCAGAGUCCAGUGAGGGCCUCUUACUGCAUACAACACGUGGUGAGGCAGAGCAGCCUCGAGUGGCGUUUCUCUUCCUCUUCUUACAAAGCCACUCAUGCACUGUGGGCUCCUUCUUCUCCUGGUGGCAGCUAAUAUAAUCCUCCAAACACCUUAACAUAUGGAUUUGAGGACUAAGUUUCCAACACACGAGCUCAGCCAUGGUGACCCCCUUCCACCUCCACAAACUUGACCUGAGAGGCUUCCAUGGCUCAGACCCGGAAGGGAAGCAGACAAGAGAUCCAGCAGUGAGCAGGGCGGGAGGACAAGGAGAGGCUUUGAGGCCCUCUGGGAGGAUCCUGAAGCGGUGCCUAGGACACCCAGGUGUGGGGCAGGUGCCUCGGGCUCCUAGUUACCCCUCACACCAGGGCUGUGCCAGGGGCACCUUCUGAGGACAGCUGGCUUUCUGGGUCGACUUCCCUGGAGAAAGGGUGUGGAUGGGCGUGGCUCGGGCCGAGGGGCUAAGCCAGAUCGCUGGGGUUUAUGCCCAGGGUGUGGUGUGAGCCAUUCAUGACUGGGAGGCUUCUAACCAUUUCUAGACCUACACGUGGAAAGCCAGCCCCGGGAAAGGCCUGACCGCCAUGGG